UACGGAGGAUGCAAGCGUUAUCCGGAAUGAUUGGGCGUAAAGCGUCCGCAGGUGGCUAUGUAAGUCUGCUGUUAAAGAGUCUAGCUCAACUAGAUAAGAGCAGUGGAAACUACAAGGCUAGAGUACGUUCGGGGCAGAGGGAAUUCCUGGUGUAGCGGUGAAAUGCGUAGAGAUCAGGAAGAACACCCGUGGCGAAAGCGGCUCUCUGGAACGGUACUGACGCUGAGACGCGAAAGCGUGGGGAGCGAACAGG
rnacentral:rRNA from 1 species